rnacentral:rRNA from 1 species
GAUGAACGCUGGCGGCGUGCUUAACACAUGCAAGUCGAACGGAAAGGCCCUGCUUUUGCGGGGUGCUCGAGUGGCGAACGGGUGAGUAACACGUGAGUAAACUGCCCCUGACUUAGGGAUAACUUCAGGAGACUGGGGCUCAUACCGGAUAGGAGCUCCUGCUGCAUGGGGUGGGUUGGAAAGAUUCGGCGGUUGGGGAUGGACUGGCGGCUUAUCAGCUUGUUGGGGGGGUAGUGGCUUACCCAGGCUUUGACGGCUAGCCGGCCUGAGAGGGUGACCGGCCACCUUGGGACUGAGGUACGGAGCAGAAGCGUACGGGAGGCAGCGGUGGGGAAUAUUGCACAGUGGGCGGAAGCCUGAUGCAGCAACGCUGCGUGCGGGAUGACGGCUUUCGGGUGGUAAACCUCUGUCGACUGUGACGAAGCGUGAGUGACGGUAAUGGGUAAAGAAGCACCGGCUAACUACGUG